UACGUAGGGUGCGAGCGUUAAUCGGAAUUACUGGGCGUAAAGCGUGCGCAGGCGGCUGCGCAAGUCGAGUGUGAAAGCCCCGAGCUUAACUUGGGAAUUGCGCUCGAAACUACGUGGCUGGAGUGUGGCAGAGGAAGGUGGAAUUCCACGUGUAGCGGUGAAAUGCGUAGAGAUGUGGAGGAACACCGAUGGCGAAGGCAGCCUUCUGGGCCAACACUGACGCUCAUGCACGAAAGCGUGGGGAGCAAACAGG
rnacentral:rRNA from 1 species